UAUGAACGCUAGCGGCAGGCUUAAUACAUGCAAGUCGAACGGUAAGUUUGGUAGCAAUAUCAAACCAAGAGUGACGUACGGGUGCGUAACACGUAUGCAACCUACCUUGUACAGGAGUAUAGCUCGGGGAAACGUACGAAUUAACCCUCCAUGAGAUCACAGUGUGGCAUCACACAGUGAUUAAAACUACAGGUGGUACAAGA
rnacentral:rRNA from 1 species